rnacentral:lncRNA from 1 species
UAAUAGCUGUUACAAAAUAACCUAUAUUCAAUUUUCAAAGAUUCACUAUUCUAGAAAUCAUAGAAUUUCCGUACAUUUUGACUAAAUUUAAGGUAAUCGAGCAAAAAUUAAUAAUUAACAGAAAUAAAGUGGCAUAUGAUGCUUGAUAUACUUUAAUUAUUGUUAUAUUUUUAUUCUUUUGUAAAAUAUCUUCUCAUUAAUUUCUAUGCAAGAAAGAAAUUUUACAUGCAUUUUUUAUGUCUUAUGUAAACAAAAUUCAGAAUAAACAAAAAAUUAAUGCAUUUUAAAUGGAAAAUUAAACCUCGCUACAAAACGAAAAUUUUUCUAAAAAGCUCAAAUAGUGCUCAAAAAAUUUUUUACCAAACGUUUGUAUACAAACUAAGUAUCAACCGAAUCUGACGUGCCUCCCAAAUGGUACAGUUAUCAUUUUGAACUUGAUCCAAUGAAUGAGCAUUUUUUUUUUUUUGUAUUGAAUAAAUAAUAGAAUUAUGUUUGCCAUAAACAUCAUUCACUUUUGUUUAAUGUUAAACAACAAAACAAGAGAUUAAAACAGUUUAAAUUAACCCCAAUCAUGAUGGUAAUAUAAAUUUGAACUUCAUACAGUUAAGAAUAUUUCUGUUUGAGGUUCAUUGGUAACCCUAAAACUCUUACAUCUGGGUGACUGCAAAUCAUAUAUACAUAACUGAUUUUUUGGGUAGUAGGCCGACUUUACGUUAACAACAGGUAUUAUUAACUGAUCAUACGUUUCCUGAACAUGAAUGGACAUACAGAUUUUUCAAACGAACAUGACCUUUGUAAAUUUAUACCUUUAUACAUACAACCAGAAAUAAUUUUAAAAUUUUUCUAUAACUUAAACUAUCUGAACAUUUAUUUCAGCACCAGCUUGCAAGACAACACCAGCCUUUACUGAAGUUUUUUUGUUAAAGCUUCUGUUUUAAUGGACUUUCCACUGGAUUAUAUUUUUUACUGAUCCCCUUCAUUGGCAUAGCAAAUUUCAAAUUUUUGAGAAUUGGAGUACUAUAAUCAAUAUUUUCAAAACUCAUAGGUGUUAUUUUAUUUAGGCCCGAAGAAUUUAAAAGUACAGUUUAUCAUUUGUUUUAGGAGUUUUAAUUUUAUAAAAGAAAAAAUAUACUUUUUAACUUUUUUUUGAAAUAUGCUUAAAUAAUCAAUUUUUUUUAAAUAUACCGUGGAAAAAAACGUAGGAAAACUUACAAUUUCAUAUCAUUAUUUUACAUUAAUACGAAAAACGUUUAUUUUUAGGAAAAGUGCUUUAAUUGAAAAACGACAAGAAACCUUUUUUGUUUCAUUAUACAUCUUGAUUCUUAUUUGUAGUGACAAAAAAUGGACAGAAUGCUCACAUUCGUUGUUUAAAUAGACCAGUGCAUACUGUAUAUCAAUAAUUUAACAAAAUUUUGGAAAAAAGGACACAUGCUCCAUAAAUGGGGACUCAGGCCUACACCAGGAUGUGACUGCGGCUAUGAAAAGCAAACUGCUAUACACAUUACUGAUGACUGUAAUACUCAACGACUACAAGGAGGAAUGAAAGAGCUACACAGAGCCACAAUAGGCGCAGUGCAAUGGUUGAACUCCUUGGACAUACAAAUCUAAUAGAAGACUUAUGUAUCUCACACAUCCAUUACUAGUCAACAUAUUACAUAUAUAAUUAGUUAUCAUUUAGCCAACUUUUAUUUAUUUAUUUAUAUUUUUAUCUUUCUUAUUUUAUAUUUAUAUCUAUUUUAUACUAUGUUACCUAUGUUAAACUGUGAAUUGAAUGUAAUAUUUAUCUAAGCCAUACGAAAUAAUAAUAAUAAUAACAAAAUUUUGAUAAUUUCAGCUAUAAUUGCCGGCAAUUUAUAAUCAAGGAAAUAUUAAAUCAGCUUAAUGAUUAUACUGUUGUUGAUAAAAAUCAUAACAGC